rnacentral:rRNA from 1 species
AUUGAACGCUGGCUGCAGGCCUAACACAUGCAAGUCGAACGGUAACAGGAAGAAGCUUGCUUCUUUGCUGACGAGUGGCGGACGGGUGAGUAAUGUCUGGGAAACUGCCUGAUGGAGGGGGAUAACUACUGGAAACGGUAGCUAAUACCGCAUAACGUCGCAAGACCAAAAAGGGGGACCUUCGGGCCUCUUGCCAUCGGAUGUGCCCAGAUGGGAUUAGCUAGUAGGUGGGGUAACGGCUCACCUAGGCGACGAUCCCUAGCUGGUCUGAGAGGAUGACCAGCCACACUGGAACUGAGACACGGUCCAGACUCCUACGGGAGGCAGCAGUGGGGAAUAUUGCACAAUGGGCGCAAGCCUGAUGCAGCCAUGCCGCGUGUAUGAAGAAGGCCUUCGGGUUGUAAAGUACUUUCAGCGGGGAGGAAGGGAGUAAAGUUAAUACCUUUGCUCAUUGACGUUACCCGCAGAAGAAGCACCGGCUAACUCCGUG